rnacentral:ncRNA from 1 species
UCGAUAAUAGUAAAGCUGUCGAAAGGCAGUGACACAAAGCUAAAGGGUCUAAGGUCUAGAAUGCAGACUAUGACAGCCAGUUGCCGU